AUGAACGCUGGCGGCGUGCCUCAUCCCUGCCAGUCGAGCGAGCAGACGAGGAGCUUGCUCCUCUGACGUUAGCGGCGGACGGGUGAGUAACACGUGGAUAACCUACCUAUAAGACUGGGAUAACUUCGGGAAACCGGAGCUAAUACCGGAUAACAUGUUGAACCGCAUGGUUUCACAGUGAAAGACGGUCUUGCUGUCACUUAUAGAUGGAUCCGCGCCGCAUUAGCUAGUUGGUAAGGUAACGGCUUACCAAGGCAACGAUGCGUAGCCGACCUGAGAGGGUGAUCGGCCACACUGGAACUGAGACACGGUCCAGACUCCUACGGGAGGCAGCAGUAGGGAAUCUUCCGCAAUGGGCGAAAGCCUGACGGAGCAACGCCGCGUGAGUGAAGAAGGUCUUCGGAUCGUAAAACUCUGUUAUUAGGGAAGAACAAAUGUGUAAGUAACUAUGCACGUCUUGACGGUACCUAAUCAGAAAGCCACGGCUAACUACGUG
rnacentral:rRNA from 1 species